rnacentral:rRNA from 1 species
AGAGUUUGAUCCUGGCUCAGGACGAACGCUGGCGGCGCGCCUAACACAUGCAAGUCGAACGAGAGAUGAGGAGCUUGCUCUUCAAAUCGAGUGGCGAACGGGUGAGUAACGCGUGAGGAACCUGCCUCAAAGAGGGGGACAACAGUUGGAAACGACUGCUAAUACCGCAUAAGCCCACGGCUCGGCAUCGAGCAGAGGGAAAAGGAGCAAUCCGCUUUGAGAUGGCCUCGCGUCCGAUUAGCUAGUUGGUGAGGUAACGGCCCACCAAGGCGACGAUCGGUAGCCGGACUGAGAGGUUGAACGGCCACAUUGGGACUGAGACACGGCCCAGACUCCUACGGGAGGCAGCAGUGGGGAAUAUUGCACAAUGGGGGAAACCCUGAUGCAGCGACGCCGCGUGGAGGAAGAAGGUCUUCGGAUUGUAAACUCCUGUUGUUGAGGAAGAUAAUGACGGUACUCAACAAGGAAGUGACGGCUAACUACGUGCCAGCAGCCGCGGUAAAACGUAGGUCACAAGCGUUGUCCGGAAUUACUGGGUGUAAAGGGAGCGCAGGCGGGAGAACAAGUUGGAAGUGAAAUCCAUGGGCUCAACCCAUGAACUGCUUUCAAAACUGUUUUUCUUGAGUAGUGCAGAGGUAGGCGGAAUUCCCGGUGUAGCGGUGGAAUGCGUAGAUAUCGGGAGGAACACCAGUGGCGAAGGCGGCCUACUGGGCACCAACUGACGCUGAGGCUCGAAAGUGUGGGUAGCAAACAGGAUUAGAUACCCUGGUAGUCCACACCGUAAACGAUGAUUACUAGGUGUUGGAGGAUUGACCCCUUCAGUGCCGCAGUUAACACAAUAAGUAAUCCACCUGGGGAGUACGACCGCAAGGUUGAAACUCAAAGGAAUUGACGGGGGCCCGCACAAGCAGUGGAUUAUGUGGUUUAAUUCGAAGCAACGCGAAGAACCUUACCAGGGCUUGACAUCCUACUAACGAGAUAGAGAUAUGUUAGGUGCCCUUCGGGGAAAGUAGAGACAGGUGGUGCAUGGUUGUCGUCAGCUCGUGUCGUGAGAUGUUGGGUUAAGUCCCGCAACGAGCGCAACCC